rnacentral:rRNA from 1 species
CGGGUGAGUAACACGUGAGUAACCUGCCCUUGACUCUGGGAUAAGCCUGGGAAACUGGGUCUAAUACCGGAUAUGACUCCUCAUCGCAUGGUGGGGGGUGGAAAGCUUUUGUGGUUUUGGAUGGACUCGCGGCCUAUCAGCUUGUUGGUGGGGUAAUGGCCUACCAAGGCGACGACGGGUAGCCGGCCUGAGAGGGUGACCGGCCACACUGGGACUGAGACACGGCCCAGACUCCUACGGGAGGCAGCAGUGGGGAAUAUUGCACAAUGGGCGCAAGCCUGAUGCAGCGACGCCGCGUGAGGGAUGACGGCCUUCGGGUUGUAAACCUCUUUCAGUAGGGAAGAAGCGUAAGUGACGGUACCUGCAGAAGAAGCGCCGGCUAACUACGUGCCAGCAGCCGCGGUAAUACGUAGGGCGCAAGCGUUAUCCGGAAUUAUUGGGCGUAAAGAGCUCGUAGGCGGUUUGUCGCGUCUGCUGUGAAAGACCGGGGNUCAACUCCGGUUCUGCAGUGGGUACGGGCAGANUNGAGUGCAGUAGGGGAGACUGGNAUUCCUGGUGUAGCGGUGAAAUGCGCAGAUAUCAGGAGGAACACCGAUGGCGAAGGCAGGUCUCUGGGCUGUAACUGACGCUGAGGAGCGAAAGCAUGGGGAGCGAACAGGAUUAGAUACCUGGUAGUCCAUGCCGUAAAACGUUGGGCACUAGGUGUGGGGGACAUUCCACGUUUUUCCGCGCCGUAGCUAACGCAUUAAGUGCCCCGCCUGGGGAGUACGGCCGCAAGGCUAAAACUCAAAGGAAUUGACGGGGGCCCGCACAAGCGGCGGAGCAUGCGGAUUAAUUCGAUGCAACGCGAAGAACCUUACCAAGGCUUGACAUGAACCGGAAAGACCUGGAAACAGGUGCCCCGCUUGCGGUCGGUUUACAGGUGGUGCAUGGUUGUCGUCAGCUCGUGUCGUGAGAUGUUGGGUUAAGUCCCGCAACGAGCGCAACCCUCGUUCUAUGUUGCCAGCGGUUCGGCCGGGGACUCAUAGGAGACUGCCGGGGUCAACUCGGAGGAAGGUGGGGACGACGUCAAAUCAUCAUGCCCCUUAUGUCUUGGGCUUCACGCAUGCUACAAUGGCCGGUACAAAGGGUUGCGAUACUGUGAGGUGGAGCUAAUCCCAAAAAGCCGGUCUCAGUUCGGAUUGGGGUCUGCAACUCGACCCCAUGAAGUCGGAGUCGCUAGUAAUCGCAGAUCAGCAACGCUGCGGUGAAUACGUUCCCGGGCCUUGUACACACCGCCCGUCAAGUCAAGAGAAGUUGGUAACACCCGAAGCCGGUGGCCUAACC